rnacentral:rRNA from 1 species
GAACCGUGCGAACGUUGUUCGGAUUCACUGGGCUUAAAGGGCGCGUAGGCGGGCCUUCAAGUCAGGGGUGAAAUCCUCCGGCCCAACCGGAGAACAGCCCCUGAUACUGGAGGCCUCGAGGGAGGUAGGGGUCGAUGGAACUUCCGGUGGAGCGGUGAAAUGCGUAGAUAUCGGAAGGAACGCCGGUGGCGAAAGCGAUCGACUGGACCUCUUCUGACGCUGAGGCGCGAAAGCCAGGGGAGCGAACGGGAUUAGAUACCCCGGUAGUCCUGGCCCUAAACGAUGGGUACUAGGUUGUGGACUUGACAUGGGUUCACAGCCGAAGCAAAAGUGAUAAGUACCCCGCCUGGGGAGUAUGGUCGCAAGGCUGAA